UACGUAGGCAGCGAGCGUUGUUCGGAGUUACUGGGCGUAAAGGGUUCGUAGGUGGCCUGCUAAGUCAAACGUGAAAUCCCUCAGCUUAACUGGGGAACUGCGUCUGAGACUGGUGGGCUUGAGUGCAGGAGAGGAACGCGGAAUUCCAGGUGUAGCGGUGAAAUGCGUAGAUAUCUGGAGGAACACCGGUGGCGAAGGCGGCGUUCUGGACUGCUACUGACACUGAGGAACGAAAGCCAGGGGAGCAAACGGG
rnacentral:rRNA from 1 species